rnacentral:lncRNA from 1 species
UUUUUUUUUUUUUUUUUUUGGAGAAAGAAAGCCUGACAGGUUUCUCCGGAAAAGUGGCCAUCCAUGGAAUGAAUGAAAUGUUCCCUUUCUAUUCCAGCACACAUCGUGGGUGUCUUGUCUCCCUGUUUCCCUGAAAUAAUUUGAUUUGAAAAAGAAGAUGUUUGGAGACGACAGUAGGGUAAAAGAACGUUUCCUCCAACAGAAAUUCUCCUUCCUUCUCUGCCUACAAGUCCUCAAGGUAGGACAAUUGCCACCUCUUCGAUGAAAGCCUUUUCUGGUCUGCAAGAGCCCCCAGCUACUUGCCCCCCUCCUCUGCCCUACCUCUACAGCUUACCUCUUCCCCUCUUUUGCGACUUGUAUCAUGAUCUUUUAUUAUAGUUGCCUACAUCUACCGAUACCUGUCCUUCCUCUAGAAUAGGAGCUUUGAAAGAGGGGUUGUGUCUUAUUUAUCUUUAUAUCCCACUCUCCCUCUCUUCUUGCUCCAUUCCUAACCCAGAGCCUGGCAAAAAGUAGGGAUUCAGAAAAUGUUCGUUGGAUGAAGGAAGGGAAGAAGGAAAGAAGGAAAAAAAAAAAAAAGGAAGUUUAUUUCUGGAGAAAAAAGCAUGUGUCUUCUUUCCUCAAAGUAUUUUAUUUUUCUAAAAUCAGGGGCAGCCUGGUUUCUUUACCUAGGUGUUAGGGCAUGUGCCCUUGAACACCUUACUCUGGCAAAGAGCCCAAAUUCCAUCUCCAACCAGCUGAGUCACUUUCAGUUCCUUUGUGGUUCAUUCAUGCUUUUCCCCUUCAUUGACACAUUAACAUUUCAUGGUGAGUGGGUCCUGUUCAGCUGGCAGCCCCUCUUAGCCCCCACACCUCUAAGCUGUCCUCACUUCACUAGUUCCCAAUUGCCUGCCUCUCGGGGGGGCUCUGUCGCUGUCAGCAUAUAGCUAGAGGAGCUGUUGUUGGUCUGCUGUUGCCAUACCUGUUUUCAUAAUUAACAAUGUGUGGCAAACUCAGAACGAGAGCCCUCUGCUAGAGGCGGUCUUCUCUUAUGUGUUCUUUUCCAAAGCCCCAGGUUGUUUUAAGAAAAUGAGAGAAAAACCAAGAAUGAAAGAACUGGGCAGAUCGACUAUCUUCUUUGUUUGGUAUCUUCGUUUAGUAUCAAAAUCUCUCAUUUUUUAUUUCCCUCAAAUACCUGGACAUUUCUUACCUCCAUGCCCUCUGCAACCGUGACUCCCAGUGAGUUUCUACUUGGAUCUUGUUUUGUAGGUCAGCAAUUUGUACCUUAACCUCAAAAACAGCAAAAACCCGUGAGCAAAUUAUAAUUUAAAAAUCUAACAUCUCUAAAGCAUGGCAUGCAAGAGUUUCUGUUUAUUGACUUUGAAAAGGAAAUUGAACACACACACAUACACGGGCACACGUGUGUGCGAUUUGUUACAAGCUUAGCAUUUCAAGAUUUACUUUUGGACCUUAGGCCCUUAGUAGGUACUCAAUAACUCCCUGCUGGCACAGUGAUUAGUUUUAGUAGCUCCCUGUUAUUUCCAAAGACAUAGCAUUUUCCAGACUUUUCUGAUCAACAAAUGAAAUGUAGCUUUUCUUAAAGCUGUGGAAAUAGAAUAAUUCAUAUUGCGAGGUUAUUUAUUACCAGCCAGACCCUCAUCUUGCUCUACGGGGCUCUGAUAAUCACCUAUUUCAGAAGCCAUUAGCCUUCUAUGUGUCGCAAAGCACUCUUCACCAUAACGUGUCUGUGCCUUUGUAUUCUAGGGGAAGGAAUGGUGUGUACUGAAGUAACAGACCUCUGUUGACCAAGUAAGAAAGUCUUUGAUGCACAAAUAGUACAUUUAACUGCUUUUAUUUGAUAGUGUUGAAAUUAAAUAGUGUGUGGAAUCCCUGCCCAGGUAUGGAAACAUAUAAAACCUUUGAGAAUAUGUACAUUAAUUCAGGUGCCGAAAAUUAUAGAAACAGACGUAUAAGAAAAAUAUGCACUGAAAGAACGUAACAGUCAAGGCUUAGGCACUCACAGGAGAACAGCAGGAGCUGACUUUAACUUAUUGAUUUUAGAACCAUCAUUUAAAAAAAAAAAAGCGCGAAAUAUUGCCUUUCCUGUUUUCAGAUAAUAAUGACUGUUGUUGCAAAUUAUAAAAUUUAAUUAGCUAUAUAAAUGCCAGAGGAACAAAUAGUGUGCUAUUGUCUUGAUAUCUUUCCAGAAAUUAGUCUUUUAAAAUAAAUUUGCCAUAUUAAUCAUCUAAAAAUAUUUUUGAUCACUGAAUUAAUAGUUUGCAGCCUGUUUUCAGGUACACUCAUUGCCAUAGGUGAUUGCUUCUUAAUUACUACACGGGCUCUUUCUAUUCACUCAUAUUAAUUCAUGUUUGCUGGCACAGUCCCAAAAGGCAGCCUUGCCCUAUAUCUUCUAAUUACUUCUAUAAUUGAAUUUGCCCACUUUUUCUAACCUAUUUUUUAAACUGACUGUGUUUGUUCAUGGUUUAUUGUGUCUUUUUUGUGUCAGUUCUCUGCAAGCAGAAUGUACAUUGAUUCUUUCCUCGUUUCUCAUUAAUUUUCAAGAGCUUUGCUGCAUGUCUGUUUUCUUAUACUGUCAGACCUAUUGCUAGCCCAAAAAAAAAAAAAAA